ACGCCUUCGGGUCUUCGGUGCGCCCUGCUCCCAACCCCAGCCCUGCCCCGUYGCCUCCGUGCCUCGGUUUCCCCCCGAGCGAGGGGGGCAGGAGGGUAACGGGGGCAYGACAUGACGCUCGUCCAUUAAAGGCUGGUCCAGAAAGCAACUGGAAGCAUUUUUAUUUUUUAUUUUUUUACAAAAAAAAUUUUUUUUUUUCUUUACAAUAAAAAUAAUACUUGGAAGACAGCUGAGAAAAAGCUCCAACAAGACAGAAAGUCACUGAUACAGCAUAUUCCCCGCCUCGCCGGCCGGCCCCAAACCUGCCCCCYGCGGCCACAGCUCCGCCGAGGACCAAGUUACACCCGCCACCUACCCAAAGUUUCCCUAAUUUGGGGCUCUAAAACGCGGUUUUCCCCUCGGCAGCGGCGGGGCGUCACAGUAUCCAGGCUGGAGAGGGAGAGCAGCCUCCGAUUAGUGCCCAAGAGAGGUUCCUAUAUACAAACAUAUACACGCGCCAGGCCACGCCGCCGCCGGAUUCGGCAGCCGGGGUUACCCGCCGUCGGGGCCCGAAGAGCUCAGAAAGGUUUUAAAAGACUCACGUGUCAGGAGGAAAAGUCAAACGUUCGGGAUCUGGUUGGAAGCAAGUUAAAAAAAGGAAAAAAAAAAAAUACCCCCAAGCCAUACAAAACACCCUGCACCAGUUUCUCCGUUAAAAAAAAAAACAACCGAACCACCCCAAAAAGCGAGACAGCCACGAGCGUAAGGACGAUUUCAUCCCGUUAAGUCCGUACCGCAAAAGCCCUCGGGAAAAGCAGCCGUAGGAAAUCUCCUGCCCCGUUUGCAAACCCGUUACAAAACRACCCUGAUGCAAAAUAUUCCUGGGCGAGGUAACCCUCGUUCGCUCCUCCGCCUUAAGUGCUAUUCGGGGGACGAGGCGCCGUAAGGGGGGGCGCGAGCCCGAGGAGCGGCGCCGGCUUUCCCGCACGCGCCCGGCACGUCCCAUCCCGCCUUUUCCCGCAGCCCAGAGCUCCGGCCGCGCGCGCGUCUGCAGUCGGCUGCUUAUCCCAAAGUCAUUUACACUUUCCUUUUUCUCCCCCCUACUCAUCAUUUAAAAAAAAUAAAAAAAAUAAAAAAAAUCA
rnacentral:lncRNA from 1 species